rnacentral:ncRNA from 1 species
CCUCGAGGACGACCUCGAGGACGACCUCGAGGACGACCUCGAGGACGACCUCG